GCGCCUGUAGCUCAGUCAGGAUAGAGCGUCGCACUCCGGAUGCGAAGGCCGCAGGUUCGACUCCUGCCAGGCGCA
rnacentral:tRNA from 2 species